rnacentral:tRNA from 1 species
GCUCGUACUCCUCCGCGGCCCGCACGGCCGCCGGGGAACGGUCGACCGCGGUGAUCGUCUCUAUGGAGAUCC